rnacentral:rRNA from 1 species
CGGAGGGUGCAAGCGUUAUCCGGAUUCACUGGGUUUAAAGGGUGCGUAGGCGGGCAGGUAAGUCCGUGGUGAAAUCUCUGAGCUUAACUCAGAAACUGCCAUGGAUACUAUUUGUCUUGAAUAUUGUGGAGGUAAGCGGAAUAUGUCAUGUAGCGGUGAAAUGCUUAGAUAUGACAUAGAACACCAAUUGCGAAGGCAGCUUACUACACAGUUAUUGACGCUGAGGCACGAAAGCGUGGGGAUCAAACAGGAUUAGAUACCCUGGUAGUCCACGCCCUAAACGAUGAUUACUCGACAUCAGCGAUACACUGUUGGUGUCUGAGCGAAAGCAAUAAGUAAUCCACCUGGGAAGUACGAUCGCAAGAUUG